rnacentral:rRNA from 1 species
GAUGAACGCUAGCGGCAGGCUUAACACAUGCAAGUCGAGGGGCAGCGAGAGUGAUAGCAAUAUUACUUGUCGGCGACCGGCGCACGGGUGCGUAACGCGUAUGCAACCUACCAUCAACAGGGGGAUAACACUGAGAAAUUGGUACUAAUACCCCAUAAUAUCUCGGAAGGCAUCUUCUGGGGUUGAAAACUCUGGUGGUUACGGAUGGGCAUGCGUUGUAUUAGCUAGUUGGUAAGGUAACGGCUUACCAAGGCGACGAUACAUAGGGGGACUGAGAGGUUAACCCCCCACAUUGGUACUGAGACACGGACCAA